rnacentral:rRNA from 2 species
UCAGGACGAACGCUGGCGGCGUGCCUAAUACAUGCAAGUCGAACGCUUCUUUCCUCCCGAGUGCUUGCACUCAAUUGGAAAGAGGAGUGGCGGACGGGUGAGUAACACGUGGGUAACCUACCCAUCAGAGGGGGAUAACACUUGGAAACAGGUGCUAAUACCGCAUAACAGUUUAUGCCGCAUGGCAUAAGAGUGAAAGGCGCUUUCGGGUGUCGCUGAUGGAUGGACCCGCGGUGCAUUAGCUAGUUGGUGAGGUAACGGCUCACCAAGGCCACGAUGCAUAGCCGACCUGAGAGGGUGAUCGGCCACACUGGGACUGAGACACGGCCCAGACUCCUACGGGAGGCAGCAGUAGGGAAUCUUCGGCAAUGGACGAAAGUCUGACCGAGCAACGCCGCGUGAGUGAAGAAGGUUUUCGGAUCGUAAAACUCUGUUGUUAGAGAAGAACAAGGACGUUAGUAACUGAACGUCCCCUGACGGUAUCUAACCAGAAAGCCACGGCUAACUACGUGCCAGCAGCCGCGGUAAUACGUAGGUGGCAAGCGUUGUCCGGAUUUAUUGGGCGUAAAGCGAGCGCAGGCGGUUUCUUAAGUCUGAUGUGAAAGCCCCCGGCUCAACCGGGGAGGGUCAUUGGAAACUGGGAGACU